rnacentral:lncRNA from 1 species
AAAUGGAUUUGGAAAGAUUUGGUAUCUUUCCGAGGUGUAAUCAUGAAAUUCAUAUUUAGUAUGGGAGGGAGGAGAGAGGAUAGAUGAAGAAAGAAGAAGAGAAAGGAAGAGCGGAUAUUACAGAAGGAACUGUCAAUUAAUUUAUUUUUAUAAAUCAUUUCGAGGUGGAUUUGAAAAGAUUUGAUACCUUUCCGAAGUGUAAUCAUUGUAUAGAUUUGGUACCUUUUCGAGAUAAAUUUGGAAAGAUUUGGCACCUUUCUAAGGUGUAAUCAUGAAAUUCAUAUUUGGUAUGGGAAGGAGGAGAGAAAAGAGAUGAAGAGAGAAGAGGAGAAAGGAAGAGUGGACACGUGUACAAAAGGAACUGUCAAUUAAUUUAUUUGUAUAGAUUUGGUACCUUUCCGAGAUGGAUUUGAAAAGAUUUGGUAUCUUUCCGAAGUGUAAUCAUGAAAUUCAUAUUUGGUAUAAGAGGGAGAAGAGAGAAGAGGAGAAAGGAAUAGCGGACACGUGGACAGAAGGAAUUGUCCAUUAAUUUAUUUGUAUAAAUCUUUCCGAGAUGGGUUUGGAAAGAUUUGAUAUCUAUCCGAAGUGUAAUCAUUGUAUAGAUUUGGUAACUUUUCGAAAUGGAUUUGGGAAGAUUUGGUAUCUUUCUGAGGUGUAAUCAUGAAAUUCAUAUUUGGUAUGGGAGGGAGGAGAGAGGAUAGAUGAAGAAAGAAUAGGAGAGAAGAAGAGCGAAAAUUACAGAAGGAAAGAACUGUCAAUUAAUUUAUUUUUAUAGAUCCUUUUGAGGUGGAUUUGAAAAGAUUUGAUCCCUUUCCAAAGUGUAAUCAUUGUAUAGAUUUGGUACCUUUUCGAGAUGAAUUUGCAAAGAUUUGGUACCUUUCUUAGGUGUAAACAUGAAAUUCAUAUUUGGUAUGGGAGGGAGGAGAGAGAAGAGAUGAAGAGAGAAGAGGAGAUACAGAAGGAAGGAACUGUCAAUUAAUUUAUUUUUAUAGAUCCUUUCGAGGUGGAUUUGAAAAGAUUUGAUACCUUUCCAAAGUAUAAUCAUUGUAUAGAUUUGGUACCUUUUCGAGAUGAAUUUGCAAAGAUUUGGUACCUUUUUUAGGUGUAAACAUGAAAUUCAUAUUUGGUAUGGGAGGGAGGAGAGAGAAGAGAUGAAGAGAGAAGAGGAGAAAGGAAGAGUGGACACGUGUAAAGAAGGAACUGUCAAUUAAUUUAUUUGUAUAGAAGAUUUGGUAUCUUUUCGAGAUGAAUUUGGAAAGAUUUGGUAUCUUUCCGAGGUAUAUUCAUGAAAUUCAUAUUUGGUAUAGGUGGGAGGAGAGAGAAGAGAUGAAGAGAGAAGAGGAGAUACAGAAGGAAGGAACUAUCAAUUAAUUUAUUUUUAUAGAUCCUUUCGAAGUGGAUUUGAAAAGAUUUGAUACCUUUCCAAAGUGUAAUCAUUGUAUAGAUUUGGUACCUUUUCGAGAUGAAUUUGCAAAAAUUUGGUACCUUUCUUAGGUGUAAUCAUGAAAUUCGUAUUUGGUAUGGGAGGGAGGAGAGAGAAGAGAUGAAGAGAGAAGAGGAGAAAGGAAGAGUGGACACGUGUACAGAAGGAACUGUCAAUUAAUUUAUUUAUAUAGAAGAUUUGGUACCUUGUCGAGAUCGAUUUGAAAAGAAUUGGUAUCUUUCCGAGGUAUAUUCAUGAAAUUCAUAUUUGGUAUGGGAGAGAGGACGAGAUGGGUUUGGAAAGAUUUGUUAUCUUUCCGAGGUAUAUUCAUGAAAUUCAUAUUUGGUAUGGGAGGGAGGAGAGAGAAGAGAUGAAGAGAGAAGAGGAGAAAGGAAGAGCGUACACGUGUACAGAAUGAGCUGUCAAUUAAUUUAUUUGUAUAGAUAGGAGAGGGGAGAAAGAAGAGGGAAGAGAUGAAGAUUUGGUAUCUUUCCGAGAUGGAUUUGGAAAGAUUUGGUAUUUUUCCAAGGUGUAAUCAUAAAAUUCAUAUUUGGUAUGGAAGGGAAGAGAGAGAAGAGAUGAAGAGAGAAGAGAAAGAAAGAGCAGACACGUAUACAAAACGAACUGUCAAUUAAUUUAUUUAUUAUUUAUAUAAAUUUCUAUAGAUUAAUAGAUAAUAAUAAUAAUAAUAAUAAUAAUAAUAAUAAUCUAUUAACUUUAAUUAACUUUAAUUAUUAAUUAUUAAUUAUUAAUUUUUAUUUUAUUUAUUUAUUUAUAUUUUUUUAUCUUCAAUACUACAGUUGAUGUAGUAAAAUCUCAAUUUUUAAAUUUUUUUUAUUUUUCCAUAAUUAAUAUUUAUUAUUCUACC